rnacentral:piRNA from 1 species
UGUCAGGUAAAAGGGGACUAGAGC